rnacentral:lncRNA from 1 species
AUUAUUAAGGUCUUUCCUUUAUCUAUAAGGAAAGACCUUACUGUAUUUCUUCUGAUUAUUAUUCUUCUUGUUCCGCCAAACUUUGACAAAAUUUCCCUCCGUAACCGUAAACCAAGUCGCUUUCAUGUUCAAACUUUGUAUUGGUUUCAUGAAUACCUAUCCGGAACUCACCCUGUGAGUCGAAAUAUUUUGUCGGUUCGGAGUAAUCCCUCCGAAACCAAAAAACCUUGUUAUCGUUCCAACACCGUAACCGUAAUAGGUAGAAAAAAAACGAAGGGUGAAAUUUGUUCAGGACCAGACCCCGGUUCUUCGUUACAUUUGGAUCGAAAAGAUUCAACGACUCAUUGGUAGGGUUAUGCCCCUAUCAAAAUUAACCGGUGUCGGUUGGCCACCAAAACUCAGAAACCGUAAGUCUUAGACACCUAGGAUCUUCACCAAUCAUCAUCAAUUCAUGUAUCUUUAAAAAAUACCUCAAGGUCAAAUGUGUAUGUUGACCUUGACCUUUGACCUAACACCUUGUUAUGGGAUAAUCUCAGAAACCAUUAUAAUUACAGAAGUUUUAAAUAGUGGAAAAUGUUUGGGUCAUUAUGGCGCAACUUUGUUACAUUUUGACCAAAGAGAUUUGACCUUUCUAUAAGGGGCAUAACCCCUGUUUUAGGUUUCUGAAAAGACAAAAUCAGCUUUUACUAUAUAACCAAAGGUCCUAGACCCUUGGGGUCUUCAGUAAUGGCAUUGGGGACUAAUGACCUUGACAAAGGUCAAAAGGUCAAAGGUCAAGGUCAUGUCCAAAAUAGCGAAUUUAGUGUUUUUAACCUUAUAUAAAGGAUUUUUAAUGUGUUUUCGAGCUUUUUAAGGUUGACCUUGACCUCUUCAAUACAUUCUACGUCUGUUGGAACAUGUAUUUUACAUUACAAAAGGAAAGACCUCUCAAUUGUUCAAGAACAAUUGACAGUUUAAUUAUUAUUUUUUUUUUUCUUCCGCCAACUUUUGGUUCCUCCACAAUUUUUUUGUUUCGCAAGAUGUCGCUUAGACAUAUGGUAUAUGAUAUCGAACAGUUAUUACGCUUUUGUAACUGACACCGUGUAACCAAAAUCUUUCCCAUAUAAGAGUUAUCUCCCCGAACACUGUUUUUCUUGUUAUCGCGUAAUCUUCACAACCGUAUAAGAAACCGACAAAUUUAUUUUUGCAAAUUGCUCAUUACAUCUUCAGGAUGUGCUGUUUUAUUUUGACCGAAGCCGUAUAGAGAUUCCAUAUGAGAGUUAUUUCCCCUUUUGUAUUUGAAAUUUUGAAAUGUAUUUUAAACUGGAAAACCAUAAGUGAUAGAGACCUAGGGUCUUUUGAUUUGAGAUCCUUGGUCCAAAAAAAUGAAAAUUAGGUCAAGGUCAAAGGUCAAGGUCAUAUUCUAAAUUUUGAUUUUGGCUUAUUUUCACUCAUUUUCAUUAACCUUAUCAGAUAUCGACAAAUUAUUUUUACUAAAUUGUUAGUUGCGACAUGUCGUAACAUAAUAAUUUUGGUUGAAAGGGUGCGUAGACAAUAAAUGGGAGUUUUAGCCCCUACCACAUCUAAAAUUAUGCGUAAAGUGAUAUUACUUAUUAACCAUACAUAUUAGAGACCUAGGGUCUUUUGAUUUGAGAUCCUCAGUUUGUGACCUUGAAAUUGAGGUCAAGGUCAUAGGUAAAUUUGGCGUUUUAGAUUAUGACCUUUAGUUAAAAUUCAUAUCUAUACAUCAUAAAGCCAUAGGAACUGACAUUUUAGACUGAUUUUUAAUAUUUUAAUAUCAAAAUAGAUAUUUACUGGUGGAAAGACCUUCAAUUGUUCUCUGAACAAUUGGUUUUUAAUUUUAUUCAAAUUU